AUGCCGAGAAGCAGCGUGGGUUCCGCCCCGGUCGACGCAAUGCUAGAUAGAUACCCCGUGGAUGACAUCAUGGAGAACACUAACUGCGAGCUACACUUCAAAAUGAAGAACAUAUCCAUGAAGGUGGCGGAUGCCGUUGCUUUUACAAAUCCCCCCGAGGCAACCUUCCAUUGCAACUCGAUUCCAGCGGGCUAUGCUCGUGUCUUGGUUGAUGAGGUGGUGGACCCAUAUUCGGGGCUACAGCUUGACAUUCCUGGAGGUGACGACGAGCACACAUUGGGAGAGGCUAUACAUCAUAUCAUCCUAUGGAGAAAGGAUUGCAUCGUCUUUUGA
rnacentral:rRNA from 1 species